rnacentral:rRNA from 1 species
GACAGAGGGUGCAAACGUUGCUCGGAAUUACUGGGCGUAAAGCGUGCGUAGGCGGUUCGCUGUGUCCGAUGUGAAAGCCCCGGGCUUAACCUGGGAAUGGCAUUGGAAACUGGCGGGCUUGAGUGCGGCAGAGGGGGGUGGAAUUCCGCGUGUAGCAGUGAAAUGCGUAGAGAUGCGGAGGAACACCGAUGGCGAAGGCAGCCCCCUGGGUCGACACUGACGCUCAGGCACGAAAGCGUGGGGAGCAAACAGG